UCAGCUUCUAGUGACUAAAGUUCUCCUGCAGAGAGUAUAGAUGUAUAGCUGGUACACCAAAACAAUAGUCAAGACUGAGUGAAGGGUGUAAAGGAACUGAUUUAUUAUGGCCAAGUUGCCUGCUUUUAUACACAGCCCCCAGCAUGGGGUCUCCAUUCAAUGUAAGACAAGCCCUUCCCAUAAGUCUCUGUGCCUGGGAGUUAAUUGCGUUAAAGACCGGUAAGCUAAUUAUCUCCCAGGAAAAGAGGCAAACAUAAAAAUACCGCAAAACAUAAAAUAACCCUACAAAUAAUUUCAUCCCCAAAUAGCCCUGAUCAGAGUGCUCAAGUUCUCCAAAUAGUGCUCAGAUCCAUACAGUGUAGGGUAAUCGCCACUGUGAAAGUUCUGACUGGCCGCAUGCGUGGUCCUAUGUCCAAAACAGUUCCAGGCAUUUGGUGCUUUGCCCGGUCAACUUUCGGGGGCUCCUGCAUACAAAAUAUAGGGUGCUCUGGUUGGCUCUUGGGAAGCGUUUGUGCCCCUUUGUUGCAGGCACCUUCCUUCCAAAAAGCGUUCUCCUGGUGGGUUGCAAAGUCGUUCAAAACCCCGGACCAAGUUGUCCGUGAGCCGCACGGUCACCUCAUGCAAAAUUUAGUUCCAUAACAAUCGCAGCUAAGUACCACUGAAGACAAUUCACGGGUUUCUUCAUCCGAAUGGCCGCCAGGGAGUUAAUUUUCGGCUCCAUUAUAAUGAAGGUAGAGUGCCGAACCAGGGGCACCCAGGGAAAGCUGCUAAUGGUGGCUGGGGAGGUUUAUCUCCCGACCAGGGUCUUUGGAUACGGCCCAUAGUCUUUGGGCAGGAGGCUAGCUAGUAGGCUCCUCCAGGAACUCGUGACAACAGCAUGUUUGCCUCAAAGAAACAUUAUCAUUGGAUUUAUCACCACUAACACUACAUGUUGAGGGAUGCUACUUUGAAACUCUGUGCCAAGUCCUCACUAAGGAGUAGCUCUGGUGACACUGUUGCAGUCCCCUUUAUUUGCUUUUUGAGGGGGGUACCAAGAAGGUAUAAUGCUUGAACUAGCUCUGGCAGAUGGAGCUGCAGUGCCAGUGGAAGCAGCGUGCCAGUGGAAGCAGCAAUGCAGGUUGUUGCAGCUUGAAAUGCAUAGAUGGUGGGGGGAAUUGCCUUCUGGGUGUUGAAUCAGAUUUAAUGGGCAUGCUGCUAAUCCCACAAUCCUGAGUCUGAAUACUACUAAUAAUGCUGUAGGCAGCCGUUGUGUCAACAAUCCUCCGAGGACAAGCUGUUCCAACUUUCAGAAAUCGUAGUACUGCUGAUGAUGGAUUGGGGAACAGGACCCAUACACUUAAUUCCAGCUUGGAACUAGAAUGUGACAUUGAUUUAAAAAAAAAAAAAAAAAAAGUAUUUUAUUACAAUAAGUAAAUAAUAAGGUAAGGUAUCUGAAUGUAUAUUGUGUAGAUGAACAACUUUAUUCAGCAGAAUCAGAUG